rnacentral:misc_RNA from 1 species
ACCCUUGUGGAGGAGGACGCCGAAGGUGGGGCUAAUGACUGGGGUGAAGUCGUAACAAGGUAGCCGUACCGGAAGGUGCGGCUGGAUCACCUCCUAACAGGGAGACAACAAAAUGUUUUGUAUUAUUUUGUCACCUUAGGUCGAUCGGUACCUCACGUUCUUAAUUUAUUAAGAAUUUCAUUUCCUAAGUUUUUCUAGGUCACACCCAUUAUUUUUCCUGGGCCAUUAGCUCAGGUGGUUAGAGCGCACCCCUGAUAAGGGUGAGGUCCCUGGUUCAAGUCCAGGAUGGCCCAUAUCUCUAUGUUGGGGGUAUAGCUCAGUUGGUAGAGCGCCUGCUUUGCAAGCAGGAUGUCAGCGGUUCGAGUCCGCUUACCUCCACUGAUUACCACCUCUUCCAUAAUCUUUAUAAAGGAAAUGUUUUGAGUUGUGAUCAUAUUCUGAACGAAUCUAGCUUCCUAAUAAAUUAUUAAGAUGCUGGACUCAUUGAAUUAAUUUCAUUGUUUUCAGAGAACCUUGACAACUGCAUAGAUUAUUUUAAAGACAAUAAGCAUUUUAAUGAUGCAGAUUUAUUAUUUAUGCGAAUGCAUUAAUAACAAUUCUAUUAAGCUGAUGCUUCAAUUUUGAAGUUAUUGGUCAAGCUACAAAGGGCUCACGGAGGAUACCUAGGCACAC